UACGGGGGGGGCAAGCGUUGUUCGGAAUUACUGGGCGUAAAGGGCUCGUAGGCGGCCAACUAAGUCAGACGUGAAAUCCCUCGGCUUAACCGGGGAACUGCGUCUGAUACUGGAUGGCUCGAGUUUGGGAGAGGGAUGCGGAAUUCCAGGUGUAGCGGUGAAAUGCGUAGAUAUCUGGAGGAACACCGGUGGCGAAGGCGGCAUCCUGGACCAACACUGACGCUGAGUGAGCGAAAGCCAGGGGAGCAAACAGG
rnacentral:rRNA from 1 species